CGGUGGCUAAUACCGGAUGUGCCGGAAGGUGAAAGGCUUGCUGCCUGAAGAUGAGCUCGCGUCCGAUUAGCUAGUAGGUGGGGUAAGAGCCUACCUAGGCGACGAUCGGUAGCUGGUCUGAGAGGAUGACCAGCCACACUGGGACUGAAACACGGCCCAGACUCCUACGGGAGGCAGCAGUGGGGAAUUUUCCGCAAUGGGCGAAAGCCUGACGGAGCAAUACCGCGUGAGGGAGGAAGGCUCUUGGGUUGUAAACCUCUUUUCUCAGGGAAGAACACAAUGACGGUACCUGAGGAAUCACCAUCGGCUAACUCCGUGCCAGCAGCCGCGGUAAUACGGAGGAUGCAAGCGUUAUCCGGAAUGAUUGGGCGUAAAGCGUCCGCAGGUGGCUGUGUAAGUCUGCUGUCAAAGAGCAAAGCUCAACUUUGUAAAGGCAGUGGAAACUACACGGCUAGAGUGCGUUCGGGGCAGAGGGAAUUCCUGGUGUAGCGGUGAAAUGCGUAGAGAUCAGGAAGAACACCGGUGGCGAAGGCGCUCUGCUAGGCCGCAACUGACACUGA
rnacentral:rRNA from 1 species